rnacentral:misc_RNA from 1 species
GAUGUGCGCAAGCACUUAUCCAAUACAUACACCUGUGCACCGUGGUCUUCGGACCUUUUUACAAACAUUGUAGUCAUGAACGUCUUUUAUUAUAACAAAAUAAAACUUUCAACAACGGAUCUCUUGGCUCU